GACGAACGCUGGCGGCGUGCUUAACACAUGCGAGUCGAACGGAAAGGCCCUGCUUUUGUGGGGUGCUCGAGUGGCGAACGGGUGAGUAACACGUGAGUAACCUGCCCUUGACUUUGGGAUAACUUCAGGAAACUGGGGCUAAUACCGGAUAGGAGCUCCUGUUGCAUGGUGGGGGUGGGAAAGUUUCGGCGGUUGGGGAUGGACUCGCGGCUUAUCAGCUUGUUGGUGGGGUAGUGGCUUACCAAGGCAUUGACGGGUAGCCGGCCUGAGAGGGUGACCGGCCACAUUGGUACUGAGAUACGGCCCAGACUCCUACGGGAGGCAGCAGUGGGGAAUAUUGCACAAUGGGCGGAAGCCUGAUGCAGCAACGCCGCGUGCGGGAUGACGGCCUUCGGGUUGUAAACCGCUUUCGCCUGUGACGAAGCGUGAGUGACGGUAAUGGGUAAAGAAGCACCGGCUAACUACGUG
rnacentral:rRNA from 1 species